GGAGGAGUGACAGAGUGGUCGAAUGUACCGGUCUUGAAAACCGGCGUGGGGGAAACUCCACCGUGGGUUCAAAUCCCACCUCCUCCGCCA
rnacentral:tRNA from 1 species